rnacentral:rRNA from 1 species
UACGUAGGGAGCAAGCGUUGUCCGGAAUCAUUGGGCGUAAAGCGCGUGUAGGCGGUCCGGUAAGUCCGCUGUGAAAGUCGGGGGCUCAACCCUCGAAUGCCGGUGGAUACUGUCGGGCUAGAGUGCGGGAGAGGCGAGUGGAAUUCCUGGUGUAGCAGUGAAAUGCGCAGAUAUCAGGAGGAACACCGAUUGCGAAGGCAGCUCGCUGGAACGUUACUGACGCUGAGACGCGAAAGCGUGGGGAGCAAACAGG